AACCUAUUCUAAAGGGAUCACAUUCUGGUUGAGUUGAAGAGUUCCCAAAUAGGACUUUGGAUGGCUCACGGCAAAUGGUGAGGGAAGGUGUCACGCUCACCCAAGGGUGAGCCAAGUCUCAAGACUCCCCGUCGAAGUUCAGAGGUGCAGCCAGGAGACAGCAGGCCUCACCAGCUCCUGUAACACUUGCAGAGGCAUUUGGGCUCUGGCCUUCAGGAGAGCAGCCCUCCAGGUCCCUAGAGCAGCUGGAGCCCGCCUUUUAGAAAGGAUUCAGAAAAGAAAAACAGCUGCUCUCCAUUUCUUGUGGUCCAGAACAGCAGAAGGCAGCUAAUGAGGGAAAACUUACCCAGUUAAUCCUGUCUGAGGGCAUACAUAACAGAAGCAAGUUUUGGGAACUUGCUUAGAGAAAGCCUCUCCAGCUAGUAGUGUCUGAGGUACAUAUCUAGACUAAGUCAUGGCAGCCUCCCCAAGAGGAUUUUUUUCUUGGAUGUUUUCCUUCAAGUAAACACCUAGUCCUUCAAGAGGACUCCAACAGGGAUAUCACAAACAUAGGCACACUAAGAUAACGUAAUCAGUGACUGCAUGUAAGCGUUUUACAGCAUGGUAUCACUUCUAAUCGCAAAACCAGCAAUUGGCAUUUUCUGAAAUGCUU